UUGUGAGCUCGAUGAGUAGGGCGGGACACGUGGUAUCCUGUCUGAAUAUGGGGGGACCAUCCUCCAAGGCUAAAUACUCCUGACUGACCGAUAGUGAACCAGUACCGUGAGGGAAAGGCGAAAAGAACCCCGGCGAGGGGAGUGAAAAAGAACCUGAAACCGUGUACGUACAAGCAGUGGGAGCCUCUUUAUGGGGUGACUGCGUACCUUUUGUAUAAUGGGUCAGCGACUUAUAUUCUGUAGCAAGGUUAACCGAAUAGGGGAGCCGAAGGGAAACCGAGUCUUAACUGGGCGUUAAGUUGCAGGGUAUAGACCCGAAACCCGGUGAUCUAGCCAUGGGCAGGUUGAAGGUUGGGUAACACUAACUGGAGGACCGAACCGACUAAUGUUGAAAAAUUAGCGGAUGACUUGUGGCUGGGGGUGAAAGGCCAAUCAAACCGGGAGAUAGCUGGUUCUCCCCGAAAGCUAUUUAGGUAGCGCCUCGUGAAUUCAUCUCCGGGGGUAGAGCACUGUUUCGGCAAGGGGGUCAUCCCGACUUACCAACCCGAUGCAAACUGCGAAUACCGGAGAAUGUUAUCACGGGAGACACACGGCGGGUGCUAACGUCCGUCGUGAAGAGGGAAACAACCCAGACCGCCAGCUAAGGUCCCAAAGUCAUGGUUAAGUGGGAAACGAUGUGGGAAGGCCCAGACAGCCAGGAUGUUGGCUUAGAAGCAGCCAUCAUUUAAAGAAAGCGUAAUAGCUCACUGGUCGAGUCGGCCUGCGCGGAAGAUGUAACGGGGCUAAACCAUGCACCGAAGCUGCGGCAGCGACACUAUGUGUUGUUGGGUAGGGGAGCGUUCUGUAAGCCUGUGAAGGUGUGCUGUGAGGCAUGCUGGAGGUAUCAGAAGUGCGAAUGCUGACAUAAGUAACGAUAAAGCGGGUGAAAAGCCCGCUCGCCGGAAGACCAAGGGUUCCUGUCCAACGUUAAUCGGGGCAGGGUGAGUCGACCCCUAAGGCGAGGCCGAAAGGCGUAGUCGAUGGGAAACAGGUUAAUAUUCCUGUACUUGGUGUUACUGCGAAGGGGGGACGGAGAAGGCUAUGUUGGCCGGGCGACGGUUGUCCCGGUUUAAGCGUGUAGGCUGAUUUUCCAGGCAAAUCCGGAAAAUCAAGGCUGAGGCGUGAUGACGAGGCACUACGGUGCUGAAGCAACAAAUGCCCUGCUUCCAGGAAAAGCCUCUAAGCAUCAGGUAACAUCAAAUCGUACCCCAAACCGACACAGGUGGUCAGGUAGAGAAUACCAAGGCGCUUGAGAGAACUCGGGUGAAGGAACUAGGCAAAAUGGUGCCGUAACUUCGGGAGAAGGCACGCUGAUAUGUAGGUGAAGUCCCUCGCGGAUGGAGCUGAAAUCAGUCGAAGAUACCAGCUGGCUGCAACUGUUUAUUAAAAACACAGCACUGUGCAAACACGAAAGUGGACGUAUACGGUGUGACGCCUGCCCGGUGCCGGAAGGUUAAUUGAUGGGGUCAGCGCAAGCGAAGCUCUUGAUCGAAGCCCCGGUAAACGGCGGCCGUAACUAUAACGGUCCUAAGGUAGCGAAAUUCCUUGUCGGGUAAGUUCCGACCUGCACGAAUGGCGUAAUGAUGGCCAGGCUGUCUCCACCCGAGACUCAGUGAAAUUGAACUCGCUGUGAAGAUGCAGUGUACCCGCGGCAAGACGGAAAGACCCCGUGAACCUUUACUAUAGCUUGACACUGAACAUUGAGCCUUGAUGUGUAGGAUAGGUGGGAGGCUUUGAAGUGUGG
rnacentral:rRNA from 1 species